rnacentral:rRNA from 1 species
AGGCAGCAGUGGGGAAUAUUGCACAAUGGGCGAAAGCCUGAUGCAGCGACGCCGCGUGAGGGAUGACGGCCUUUGGGUUGUAAACCUCUUUCAGCAGGGAAGAAGCGAAAGUGACGGUACCUGCAGAAGAAGCGCCGGCUAACUACGCGCCAGCAGCCGCGGUAAUACGUAGGGCGCAAGCGUUGUCCGGAAUUAUUGGGCGUAAAGAGCUCGUAGGCGGCUUGUCACGUCGGUUGUGAAAGCCCGGGGCUUAACCCCGGGUCUGCAGUCGAUACGGGCAGGCUAGAGUUCGGUAGGGGAGAUCGGAACUCCUGGUGUAGCGGUGAAAUGCGCAGAUAUCAGGAGGAACACCGGUGGCGAAGGCGGAUCUCUGGGCCGAUACUGACGCUGAGGAGCGAAAGCGUGGGGAGCGAACAGGAUUAGAUACCCUGGUAGUCCACGCCGUAAACGGUGGGCACUAGGUGUGGGCAACAUUCCACGUUGUCCGUGCCGCAGCUAACGCACUAAGUGCCCCGCCUGGGGAGUACGGCCGCAAGGCUAAAACUCAAAGGAAUUGACGG